GAGCCCAGCGGAGGAACGAACAACUCCAGAGGCGCCGCCCUAAGAGCUGUUAACACUCACCGCGAAGGUCUACAGCUUCACCCCUGAGCCAGCGAGACCACAAACCUACCAGAAGGGGAACACAUCUGAACAUCAGAAGGAGCAAACUCCGGACACGCCGCCUUUAAGAACUGUAACACUCACCGCGAGUGCCCGUGGCUUCAUUCUUGAAGUCAGUGAGACCAAGAACCCACCAAUUCCGGACACAAAACUUUCAAGAUCUUUGCUUCUUAGAAAGUGAUUUGUAGACCAGCAGCCACCUACUGAAUCAGAAUCUACAUUUUAAUAAGAUCCCCAGACAGUAGCUUCUAUUGAAACAUCACUUCUCAUUUGCUGUUUGGACAAUGGUGAUGGAACUGCUGCUUUAUUGCCCACGGAGAAGCGAAGUGAAGAGUCUAAAGUGGGUCUUGCAGUUACACUGGACAAAAGAAGUUUGAAACUGAGGCUUGGUCCUGAAGAACACAUAGAGAAGGCUGACAGAUUAUAUAUAUUCACAGCUUUGGCUUAAAGGUUGCUGGUUGACCAAUAAGUAAUACAAGAAGAAAUGGUCUUUUCUGGAAUUGUCCUUCUUUCCAGGUAUCAAUGGUGAGCAGAAGAGGAGCAGGGAAUGAUGAAAGACCACACAUUCUCCAAAAGUAAUCCUAUGCAAGUUGCCAAUCUUCUCUAAACAACACUCUUCCUCAUCUAUAAAGUAAAUAUUAAUACCUACCUGAAGGUGGCAGAGAGAGUUAACUGAGAUAAUUUGGUUAAUGAGCCUGAAAUCUAGUCAACACUUACUAAAGCUCUCGGGUGAAAUCUAAGAUGGGUCCAAUGACUUUCUCAAGUUUCAGAUAAAAAGUUUCUGGAUACUUUUAGUCAUGAAGCCAAUCUUCUUACAGUAAUGAAGACAUCCUUUCUGGGAUAUCCCGUCCUUUCUGGGAUGUCUAGUCAAGGUGGAGUAAACAUAUUCCACUCUGUCUCUCUCCAUGAAGGAAGUUAAAACCCUGGAUGGAAUGUAUGUAGCAUUUCUCUGAGGAGCCUGUAAAGUAAGUAGCAGCAGGUAGAUUAAGGAAAGAAACCAGAACCUGAAGUACUACUGAACCACUUUUCCCCUCUGGCAUCUCCUGCUGUAGGACCGAGACAGCUGGAAAACAGGAACUAUACAUCAGGAAAUUCUAUGGCAGUGGUGGUGACAAUUGCAGUGGUGGCUGGUCAGGUAUCCAAAGCUCCAAGAAAGGAGAGUCCUUACGUAUGACCAGAGAAACUGAAAGAAGUUCCUGCUGCUUUUUUCCCCUCUCUCUAUCCUCUUGCCGCUCGGCAUUGGAGGCAGAAAGAGCUGGCCCCUUACUCUGGCCCAUGGUAGCCUUCAGUUUGCUGAGGGCUUGUAUGUUUUUGCUCACUUGUUUUUCUACAAUAUUCUUCGGCUACAACGACCACCACAUAAACUCUUGUUCACAUAUUUUAUGUCCAGGACAAAGCUCCUAUCCUUGAUCAAGCCUCUUCUUUCUGGAAAUGGCUUUACCUACCUGUUAUAAUCAUCUCGUCAUUAUCGCUUUUGCUCAUAGGCUGUCACCUUCAUUUGUGGAUUCAUUCCCACCCUUCAGUGGCUGUUUCAGUGCUUUCAACAAAUAUCUGAAGGAAUGAUCAAGUCUUUUCCUAGAAAUAAAAUAUUCCAAGAAAUAUUUAAGGAUACAUUAAGAUUUCAAUAAAGCCUCAAAAGCACUU